rnacentral:snRNA from 1 species
GUGCUCGCUUCAGCAGCACAUGUACUAAAAUUGGAACGAUAAAGAGAAGAUUAGCGUGGCCCCUGCGCAAGGAUAACAUGCAAAUUCGUGAAGCAUUCCAUAUUUUU